AGCGAACGCUGGCGGCAGGCCUAACACAUGCAAGUCGAACGAAGUCUUCGGACUUAGUGGCGGACGGGUGAGUAACACGUGGGAACGUGCCUUUAGGUUCGGAAUAACUCAGGGAAACUUGUGCUAAUACCGAAUGUGCCCUUCGGGGGAAAGAUUUAUCGCCUUUAGAGCGGCCCGCGUCUGAUUAGCUAGUUGGUGAGGUAAAGGCUCACCAAGGCGACGAUCAGUAGCUGGUCUGAGAGGAUGAUCAGCCACAUUGAGACUGAGACACGGCUCAAACUCCUACGGGAGGCAGCAGUGGGGAAUCUUGCGCAAUGAGCGAAAGCCUGACGCAGCCAUGCCGCGUGAAUGAUGAAGGUCUUAGGAUUGUAAAAUUCUUUCACCGGUGACUAUAAUGACGGUACCCGGAGAAGAAGCCCCGGCUAACUUCGUGCCAGCCGCCGCGGUAACAC
rnacentral:rRNA from 1 species